AAAAAAGGUAAGCUACUAAGAGCGAAUGGUGGAUGCCUUGACUGGUAAAGGCGAUGAAGGACGUACUAGACUGCGAUAAGCUACGGGGAGCUGUCAAGAAGCUUUGAUCCGUAGAUUUCCGAAUGGGGCAACCCAAUGUAUAGAGAUAUACAUUACCUAUAUAGGAGCGAACGAGGGGAAUUGAAACAUCUUAGUACCCUCAGGAAAAGAAAUCAAUAGAGAUUGCGUCAGUAGCGGCGAGCGAAAGCGUAAGAGGGCAAACCCAGUGCUUGCACUGGGGGUUGUAGGACUGCAAUGUGCAAGAGGUGAGUUUAGCAGAACAUUCUGGAAAGUAUAGCCAUAGAGGGUGAUAGUCCCGUAUGCGAAAAACAAACCUUAGCUAGCAGUAUCCUGAGUAGGGCGGGACACGAGAAAUCCUGUCUGAAGCUGGGUCGACCACGAUCCAACCCUAAAUACUAAUACCAGAUCGAUAGUGCACAAGUACCGUGAGGGAAAGGUGAAAAGAACUGAGGUGAUCAGAGUGAAAUAGAACCUGAAACCAUUUGCUUACAAUCAUUCAGAGCACUAUGUAGCAAUACAGUGUGAUGGACUGCCUUUUGCAUAAUGAGCCUGCGAGUUGUGGUGUCUGGCAAGGUUAAGCAAACGCGAAGCCGUAGCGAAAGCGAGUCUGAAUAGGGCGCUUAGUCAGAUGCUGCAGACCCGAAACGAAGUGAUCUAUCCAUGAGCAAGUUGAAGCUAGUGUAAGAACUAGUGGAGGACUGAACCCAUAGGCGUUGAAAAGCCCCGGGAUGACUUGUGGAUAGGGGUGAAAGGCCAAUCAAACUUCGUGAUAGCUGGUUCUCUCCGAAAUAUAUUUAGGUAUAGCGUUGUGUCGUAAUAUAAGGGGGUAGAGCACUGAAUGGGCUAGGGCAUACACCAAUGUACCAAACCCUAUCAAACUCCGAAUACCUUAUAUGUAAUCACAGCAGUCAGGCGGCGAGUGAUAAAAUCCGUCGUCAAGAGGGAAACAACCCAGACUACCAGCUAAGGUCCCUAAAUCUUACUUAAGUGGAAAACGAUGUGAAGUUACUUAAACAACCAGGAGGUUGGCUUAGAAGCAGCCAUCCUUUAAAGAAAGCGUAAUAGCUCACUGGUCUAGUGAUUUUGCGCGGAAAAUAUAACGGGGCUAAAGUAAGUACCGAAGCUGUAGACUUGCGCACAACUUAGAUUAUUUAAGUUUAGAAUAUGAGAAACUAAGUUAUAUGUUUAGUUAUAUUUUUACUGAUUUUUAUAGAGUAAAGAUAGAAAUAAAACUUAGUAAAAUCAGUAAAAAUAUUCUUAGACUAAAGUUAAGUAGUUUAAGUUGUGUGCAAGUGGUAGGAGAGCGUUCUAUUUGCGUCGAAGGUAUACCGGUAAGGAGUGCUGGAGCGAAUAGAAGUGAGCAUGCAGGCAUGAGUAGCGAUAAUUAAUGUGAGAAUCAUUAACGCCGUAAACCCAAGGUUUCCUACGCGAUGCUCGUCAUCGUAGGGUUAGUCGGGUCCUAAGUCGAGUCCGAAAGGGGUAGACGAUGGCAAAUUGGUUAAUAUUCCAAUACCAACAUUAGUGUGCGAUGGAAGGACGCUUAGGGCUAAGGGGGCUAGCGGAUGGAAGUGCUAGUCUAAGGUCGUAGGAGGUUAUACAGGCAAAUCCGUAUAACAAUACUCCGAGAACUGAAAGGCUUUUUGAAGUCUUCGGAUGGAUAGAAGAACCCCUGAUGCCAUCGAGCCAAGAAAAGUUUCUAAGUUUAGCUAAUGUUGCCCGUACCGUAAACCGACACAGGUGGGUGGGAUGAGUAUUCUAAGGCGCGUGGAAGAACUCUCUUUAAGGAACUCUGCAAAAUAGCACCGUAUCUUCGGUAUAAGGUGUGGUUCGCUUCGUAUUAGGAUUUACUCCGAAAGCGAAGAAACUUACAACAAAGAGUCCCUCCCGACUGUUUACCAAAAACACAGCACUCUGCUAACUCGUAAGAGGAUGUAUAGGGUGUGACGCCUGCCCGGUGCUCGAAGGUUAAUUGAUGGGGUUAGCAUUAGCGAAGCUCUUGAUCGAAGCCCGAGUAAACGGCGGCCGUAACUAUAACGGUCCUAAGGUAGCGAAAUUCCUUGUCGGUUAAAUACCGACCUGCAUGAAUGGCGUAACGAGAUGGGAGCUGUCUCAAAGAGGGAUCCAGUGAAAUUGUAGUGGAGGUGAAAAUUCCUCCUACCCGCGGCAAGACGGAAAGACCCCGUGGACCUUUACUACAGCUUGACACUGCUAUUUGGAUAAGAAUGUGCAGGAUAGGUGGGAGGCUUUGAGUAUAUGACGCCAGUUGUAUAUGAGCCAUUGUUGAGAUACCACUCUUUCUUAUUUGGGUAGCUAACCAGCUUGAGUUAUCCUCAAGUGGGACAAUGUCUGGUGGGUAGUUUGACUGGGGCGGUCGCCUCCCAAAUAAUAACGGAGGCUUACAAAGGUUGGCUCAGAACGGUUGGAAAUCGUUCGUAGAGUAUAAAGGUAUAAGCCAGCUUAACUGCAAGACAUACAAGUCAAGCAGAGACGAAAGUCGGU
rnacentral:rRNA from 1 species